UCUAUAAGUCAUGUAAAAUUUUAUGGAUCUCUUCCAGGAAUGAUAUUAGUGGUGUAUAAUAGUGUUUAAUCCUUCAGAAAUAAUUUUCAGGAAAAAGUGAAGCAGUGUUUUGUACCCAAUACACAAGCCUGUUGUGAAAACCACUACUUGCUUUAGAAAUAACUACAGUAUAUUGCCAGCUUCAUAUGCAAUGAGGAGACUGGCUAGCCAAAUGUCGAGAUUCUUCAUGCAGCAGUUACAGAUACAGAGCAAUAACCCAACAAUCCAUCAUAUUCCUGCAAGAUUGCAGGAUAGCCUACUGCAGCUAAGUGGCACACGCUUGAUUUUUAAAACCAGAGAGAGGUGCACUAGGAGCAGCUAAAUACUAUCCCUGGGUGAACCUCUCUAUUUUCUAGAUGUUUGUUGUUGUUGUUUAGUCGUUUAGUCGUGUCCGACUCUUCGUGACCCCAUGGACCAUAGCACGCCAGGCACUCCUGUCUUGCACUGCCUCCCGCAGUUUGGUCAAACUCAUGUUCGUAGCUUCGAGAACACUGUCCAACCAUCUUGUCCUCUGUCGUCCCCUUCUCCUAGUGCCCUCAAUCUUUCCCAACAUCAGGGUCUUUUCCAAGGAUUCUUCUCUUCUCAUGAGGUGGCCAAAGUAUUGGAGCCUCAGCUUCACGAUCUGUCCUUCCAGGGAGCACUCAGGGCUGAUUUCCUUAAGAAUGGAUAGGUUUGAUCUUCUAGCAGUCCAUGGGACUCUCAAGAGUCUCCUCCAGCACCAUAAUUCAAAAGCAUCAAUUCUUCGGCGAUCAGCCUUCUUUAUGGUCCAGCUCUCACUUCCAUACAUCACUACUGGGAAAACCAUAGCUUUAACUAUACGGACCUUUGUCGGCAAGGUGAUGUCUCUGCUUUUUAAGAUGCUGUCUAGGUUUGUCCUUGCUUUUCUCCCAAGAAGCAGGCGUCUUUUAAUUUCGUGACUGCUGUCACCAUCUGCAGUGAUCAAGGAGCCCAAGAAAGUAAAAUCUCUCACUGCCUCCAUUUCUUCCCCUUCUAUUUGCCAGGAGGUGAUGGGACCAGUGGCCAUGAUCUUGGUCUAGAUGUUAAGGAGAACUAAACCUUUUAAAUGAGGUGCUAGGUUCCUGGGUUGUUCUUUCUUUACCUGCAAGAAUCUUAUCUAGCUACCUAUCUAUGUAUAUAUAUGUUUUUAAAGAAUCUAUGGGUCCUUUCUUCAUUCUGGGAGAAUGUCAGACACACUUGUUGCAUUCUUUUUUAGGGGAACCCACUCCCCAUAUAAAAAUGUUUCAGAAUACUAUUAUCUGAGAAAUUGAAGCUCAGCUCUGCUUUGAAUAUGUAAGUCCCCCUCCCCCUGCAAUGCAAUCUCCACCUGUUAUGACAACAGAUAGCCUUCAGAGUGUCUGUGACGUCACAUUUAGAAAAUACAAUUUUUCUCCUUAUCCAACUGUUACCACAGGCUUGCGAUACAUCAGCUAAUAUCCCUGGCCAGUUUAAGCAACCUGAGAAUAAUAUUGCUGUUAUUUAAACAAGUGUGUGCUAAGGCACUAAAUUCACCACUGAUCACCAGUGUCCUAGAGGUUGAUUUAAAACCCUAAACCACAGUUUAGCAUUAUAAGUAUGAGCCUUGGGCUUGCGUGCUCUCCCCUGUUGCAGCGUGCAUGACAUGGGAGACAGGGAGCAGAGGCGAGGUAUUUAUUUAUUGCAUUUAUGUACUGGCUUUCUGCCAAGAAACCCAAGGUGUCUUACAGUUCUAAAGGGCAAAGGCAAAUAAAUGAUAUAAAAUAUAAAGAUGCUUCUCUUCUUUCUCACAUGGCAGAUAGUGGCCAUUGAUGAUUGGUGAGUGAAGGUGUUGGAGGGCAAGCUCUGUGUACCACAAAGCCUGUCCUGCACUCUUGAAACUAGCUAUUAUGCUGCCCUCAGGCACAGUAGAGGAUGUUGUCCCAUCACCAGCAUUGAAGUACAUUUCAGCUGUCAGUCCAGUUGCCUUCUGUAUGCAGAAUGGCUUUGCUUUAGGCAGCAAAAUGUAUUGGUCCAUUCCUGUACAUAACGUACAUAAACAAAAUUUGUAGAUACCAGUAAUUAAAACAUGGAUCAGUAGACAACCUGAAAAGGUGUGUUGGGUUGAAUACUAGUCUUUUGGAGCCAAAAAAAGCAGGAGUAAUUUAUUUAACAGUUAGAAACAAUUUCUUUGUGUUAAACAAAACUAUAGUUCACAUACAUACUUAUAGGAAAACAUUAGACGAAUGUAGAGCACCAUAUUAGUUCUUCCAAUAAAUACAGGUUGUUUUUCAUUGUAAAAAUCCACAUGGUAAUUGUUAAUAAGAGGGCCAGUGGCAUUGAAAUGCUCUCAGCCAAUAAACUGUUUACUUUUAAAAAAUUGUUUUUAACAAGUCACAUUGAUCAAUCUAUUAAAUAUGCUUUAUUAUUAUUUUUUCUAACCAUUGGGCAUAUUUGAAUUGCAAAUCCCUAAGUUUUUCCCCCCUUUCUCUUCUUAAAAAAAUCACUUUUGAGUCUGCAUCAUGAUUCCUCAGUGAAUUUCCAUUUGACGUUUGGUGAGGCUGGUUCAUAAUGUAAUGAUUCUUCAUUAUUUGUAUACUCUGAAUGUUGCACUGUUUCCUGAUUACUUGAAUGUUCUAAUUCACAGUGCUUAAGGGCACUAAAAGAUAAAUAUCUAGAGUGCUUCAGAAUAUAUGUUUCAGGCUCACAAAAUUAAUAUUUCCACACCUAAAAUUAUUACAAGCUCAACACUUCACAGUUAGGCCAAAUUUUUGCUGUUGUCCCACUGGGACUUCAACCUAAGUGAAGAGUAAGGGAACGUUGUUGAACAGUGCCCUUAAUUACUAUAGUGCCAAACGAAUGCACAAGUGAAAUACAUUAGUAGAAUUAAAAUUUGUCUUUUAUUCCCUUGGUGGGUAAUACAGUUAAUGAAUAUAGAUCUGACCAAAUUAAGAUAAUUUAUUUCAAUGGUUUACAUCACUGUAAAAGUUUUAGUGCAGCAUAGACUGUUCAUACAAACUUUAAAUAGAAGCAGUUCUUGUAUCCGCUUCGAAUAUUGUGAAGGUUAAAAGUUUUAACUGUAUUAAAGCAAUUCACUUAAUUAUGUCUAUAGAGGAUAUUGUUUCCUCUCCUGUGGAUUUCUUCAUCCACAAUUCUCAAUGCCAGUCAGAAGCAGUUUUUUAACAUCUAUUUAGAGAUGUUUCCACCAAUGUACUGUAAUUCAAAAUAUUAGCCCAUAUUUUGACCUCCUUAUCAGUAUGGCUGGUGCCUAUCAUAAGCACUCCUUCCUUGCCGUUGACCAGUUUUAAUUAACACACAAUUAAUUUAUGACAUUCACUGGAAAGCCUGUACACAACUUCUACUGAAGGCAGAGUGGUGGGGGAAAACCCAGCCAAAUGGGCGAGGUAUUUGUUGUUGUUGUUGUUGUUGUUGUUGUUGUUGUUGUUGUUGUUGUUGUUGCUGUUGUUGUCAAACUAGCUGAGUGGUAUCUAUACCAGCGUCCUCCAAUAUGGUAUCCUCCAAAUGUUGUUGGACUCCCAGCCAGCAUGGCCAGAUCAGGGAUGCUGGUAACUGUAGUCCAAAACACCAGGAAGGGACCAGGUAGGGAAAAGCUGCUCUGACUGACAGCAGCUGUCCUGGUCUGCAAGCAUUAGUCUUUCCCAGCCCUAUUUUGACCUUUAUUAAAAUUUAGCCCAAUGUCCUCAGUUUAAAAUUGUUGUUCAGGAAUGUCCCUAAGAGAGAGGGAGAAUGUUCCCCUGCCCACCCCACAUGCACCUGGAGACCCCCCCUCCCCAAUUAAGAGACAUAUUGGUGUUGAUUUCAAUGGCACACUGUUGGCUGCAGUUGCCUGUUUCUUAGUAUGAAGACCCAUGAUCUUACAAUGAAAGGGAAAGAGUCUCCUAGCUUUAGAUACACAUAGAGGGAAAAGCCACAUGGAGGAUUCUUGUUUAAGAAAUUUUGGGACAAAAACUGGACUGAUGCAUUUGUAUUGGCUCUUCAUGUGUCUCUAGUCCUGAUUUCUCUGUGUUUAUCAUCCUCAACAGUUAAUUAAGGAUAGGGGUUCUGAUCCGUAUAAUUAAAAUUUUAAUUGAUUAAUUACACUGAUUGCUAAUUUUAAUGGCUCUCUUUAAACGAGUAAUCAUAAAUUGUCUCAACAAUACCCAAGCCAUGUGCAGUUAUCCCUUUUUGUUUUGUUUCUUUAAAUCAGGGGUCAGCAAACUUUUUCAGCAGGGAGCCAGUCCAAUGUCCCUCAGACCCUCGGACUACCGAUAUAUUUUUUUGGGGGGGGGGAGAGAAUGAAUUCCUAUGCCCCACAAAUAACCCAGAGAUGCAUUUUAAAUAAAAGGAUGCCCAUGUAAAAACACGCUGAUUCCUGGACUGUCCGUGGGCCAGAUUUAGAAGGCGAUUGGGCCGGAUCCAGCCCCCGGGCCUUAGUUUGCCUACCCAUGCCUUAAAUGGUUCCUGCCAGCACUUUGAUUAGCUGCUUGUAGUUAUGAGUCCAGUUUUUAUUUCCAGGCAUAACAAGUGUAUAGAAUAAAUUGUUGAGUGCCGUGCAAUAAAGCAUGAAUGGCCUGAAAAGUGUAUUGAGUGAGCAGGCAUGAACAGAAAUCCUUCAGAUUCAAUAUUGGGCUUUCUCACAUGCAAAGGAUAAUGGUGCCCCAGUUGUUCAGCUGCAGCCUCAUUUUAGUGUUAUCUAUGGGGCAAUAUAUAAAAUUCUAUAGGAAAUAAACUGUAUGUUGAGAAGAUUUUCAAAGAAGAAGGUGGGAGAGUUUGAGGAGAAUUAAGGGAACUGGAAGUCAAGGGUACAAAUCUGUAGGGAGCAGUGUGGUUGAGCAAUAAUAUAAACCAAUUGUGUACACCCUUCUGAUGUGUGAGUCCUGGUUAGUGCAGGUUAUCAAUAUCAAUAGAGUGGUACCCUGGGUUACAAAUGCUUUGGGUUACAAACACUUCGGGUUACAAGCACCGCUAAUCCAGAAGUAGUACCUCGGGUUGAGAACUUUGUCCCAGGAUGAGAACGGAAAUCACGUGGUGGUGGCCCGGUGGCAGCAGGAGGCCCCAUUAGCAAAAGCGUGUCUCAGGUUAAGAACAGUUUCGGGUUAAGGACGGACCUCCAGAAUGAAUUAAGUUUGCAACCUGAGGUACUACUGUAUUGGGGAACAGUGGGUGCAGAAGUUAAUUUGCUGGCUAAAGUGGCCCUAGGUCAUGGCCACUGGAGAGUGAACAACAACAGACACUCCAUGUCAAGAGGUUAUGACUAACUUCCUCUCAAGUAUCUGACAAUAUCUACUCCGUAAGUCAGAUUGCUGGUGAAAGACAUCAUUUGGUCCAGUUCAGUAAACGUUAUGUGGUGAUGACAAUGGAAAUAACAGACAUUUGUUGAUGCACUUGCUACUUUUGAGCAUAGUUUUUUUUAGUAAUUUAUUUUGCCCUGCAAGAUUGUCUUUGUUUAGUAAUUUAAAGCAUCUUUCUGCAUGAGCUGCCUUUUAGCAUGACAGCAAGGGAAGAAAAUUGAUUUGCAUUUGUACUUUCUGAAAAGACAGCUUGAAGGAAUUUCAUGCCAGAGCUAUAGAAGAAAAAAGUUCUCUUCAGAAGUAAUAUAUUGAACAGUACUUACCGGUACAUUCAAAAACUAUAUGUAUUUACCAGGAAUCAAGUUUUUGGCCCAAACCCCCAAGUAUUCUAUGCUUGGUUGGUAUGAUUGAUAUCUCUCCUCCCCUGACAUCCAAACAUACGGUAAGGAAAAAGUGUGGUCUGAAAUGCAGAAUGUAAUUCACCACUUUUUGAUUUAAACACUUUUGUAGGACUCCAAAAGAGGUAAAACGAAACAUGGAAAUAACUUUAAAUAGAUGUAGGUAAUAUAGACAUACAUGUAUUGUUACAAACAUGAUUUAUAUUCAUCAUAAUGUUUCUCUGCCAGAUCUUAUUCAGUUGCUUAGAAUGCCUAUAUUUGGUCUCAGCUAAGUAAUUCUUUUGCAUGAAAAUAUUGUUUGUCCUUACAUUCCAUUCCAAGAUGAUGAUAUAUUUGGAUAGUUCUGGAGCGGGGGCAUUAAUUAGCAUCCAGAUGCAGCCUCCCACUCAUUUUCUAGUCAUUCAAAUAUUUUUCAUAUGUGUCUUACAACUGCAACUAUUUUUUUAAAGAGUCCUUGAGCAAUUUUUAAAGGAAAGGGGUUUUUCAAGGACUUUGUAACACACUUUUGAAAUUCCCUUCCUUUCACAUUGAGCUGUCAUUCAUAAUUCUUUGCUACUGUUGCCCCUUGAUCGGUCUCUGUUGCUGUUUCAGUAAAGUUUUGAAAUUUCCAAGUUUUCUUCUAUUCCUUUAAUAAUCAUAUCAACCAGUAAGGCAGGAAUCACCAGCAUGAUAUCCAAAUGUGCCAGUGUGCUCAGUGGCAUCUUCUGUAGCACCCACAAAAAUAUUAAUCAAUAUUCCCUUAAGAAUCAACAAUGCAUGGGAGGCUAUUUGUUUUUCCUGCUCAGUUCCUGCUUGCGCUGGCUCAGCAUCUCCUACAUUAAACAGAGGUCAAAAACAAAGGCCCAAACUACUUAGCUAUUUACAAGGCCUAGAUGCAUAGAAAUGCCAGGAAGACCACAAAGAUGAUGAACCUCCUCCUAUGGAAAGUCUAUUCUAUAACCCUGUGCAAUCCCUAAAAGGUGCUGCACUCUUGAGGAAAGAGUGAGAGCCUGGGUGGAGUCAAAGUCUGCCCAAGGCAAUAAAAUAGCUUAGUUGAGUUCCAGGCUUGUUAGGAACACUUGUAUGCUUGAUGGUCUUCUCCACUUGCCUGAUUAUUCUCGCCCUCCACCUCUACCGGCUCCCGCAGCCCCGGGUCUGAACAGGAUACCUCUUGAGUUCUUCCCUGAACAAACACUCAUAAUGUGGGAAAUAGUUUUAAAGACCAUGAAAAUGUUUGUAAACUGCCACCCCCCCCCCCGUGAUUCAACUCAGCUCUAGAUAUCUAAAAGCAUGUCUUUUAGGAUUAAGUACAAUGUCAUAUAGGGACCCAGGUGGCGCUGUGGGUUAAACCACAGAGUCUAGGGCUUGCUGAUCAGAAGGUCGGUGGUUCGAAUCCCUGCAACGGGGUGAGCUCCCGUUGGUCGGUCCCAGCUCCUGUCCACCUAGCAGUUCCAAAGCACAUCAAAGUGCAAGUAGAUAAAUAGGGACCGCUCCGGUGGGAAGGUAAACAGCGUUUCCGUGUGCUGCUCUGGUUCGCCAGAAGCAGCUUUGUCAUGGUGGCCACAUGACCCGGAAGCUGUCUGCGGACAAACACCGGCUCCCUCGGCCUAUAGAGCGAGAUGAGCACCGCAACCCCAGAGUCGGACACGACUGGACCUCAUGGUCAGGGCCCCCUUUACCUUUACCUUUUUACAAUGUCAUAUAGCAUUUCAAAAUUCUAAAACAAGAUUGUAGUGAAAAUCAUAUUUUGCCGAUAGAGGCUUUCUUCCUGAUAAACAUCUUUCCUUCAAUACCUUUUGUGGCGCUGCAGAGGUGAACACAAAAACUGUGACGUUCACUUUUGUGGAGUAGCGGCCACUUGAUAAUAUGUAUGAUGUGUGAUGAAGUGGGUUGUUGUCCAUGAAAGCUUCUGCUACAGUGCAUUUGUUAGUUUUGAAGGUGCCACGGGACUCCUUGUGUUUACUGCAAAAGAUUAGCAUGCAGCUAUCCUGCAUUUUUUCUCCAGAUGGCACAGGCCGGGGGCUACAUAUCUUUUGGAGAUGGAUCCCAUUGGAGCAAAUCACAAUACACACAGCAGCAUGGCCAAUUCCAAUGGGAAGAUAAGAGCUUGAAACCCUGUAAAUAUAAAUAAUAAACACCUGGUAGAUGAAUAUUCUAGCUUUCAAAUUAAGUUUCUAAGUGCCUCUUUUGGUACACAGUGGUUCUAAAUCAUCCUUCUGUAUGCCACAAUAACUUCAUGUUCCAGUUUAGAAUGCUUGGGCUGCAUAAAUGCAGGGCCAUCUCAAGCAGGUCGGGCGCCCUGGCACUGAGGCGCGGAGAUCGCUCCGGCGCCCCUGCCAGAAAGCAUGGCUUUCCACACGGUUUUGCCGCGCAGUGCACCCCCUGCCGGCCCAGCGCCCUGGCGCCCCGCACCACCGGGACUACACCUAGAGCCGGGCCUGCAUAAAUGUUACAUAUUUAAAGCACAUGACUUCCCCCAAAUAAUCCUGAGAAUUGCAUUUUUAAGGGUUCUGGGAAUUGUAGGCCUGUGAGGAAUAAAGUUCAGUUGUUCCCAGGAUACUUUGGGGAAAGUCAUGUACUUCAACUCUGCUUUAAAUGUUUGAAGUUUAUGUAGCCUUCUUCUCUUUUCUCCUCUCAGUAAAUGUAUGAUGCUUAGAAAAGGAAACUGUUAUAAGGCCUUGAACCCACUUGUUUUAUUUCAUGUAGUUUAUAUCCCACCUGCCCUGUCUCCCACUCGUUGACUCAGUUCUUGACCUCAGCUGGAUUAUUAUUGAAGGCCCGAAAUAGAUUGUGUUAUAAAUUGCACAGUUCAGAAGUUACAACAGAGUUUAGGAUACAUGGAUAGGCAUAAACUAUAACAUUGUCACAACCCCUGACAUGCCCCCUGAGCUCCCCUUUUGAAGGGUCAUUUGCUUGGUUGUCUUCCUGAGCCACUGGGCAAGCAAGUGGGCACUCCUAUGAAUAAACUGGGUCUGCUUUUGUGCCAUUGUAACCAUUGCCACAUCCCUGUCCUGCUCCCAAUUUGCUCUAGCCCCAAGGGUGAGGAGUGCUUUACUGUCAUGACGUGCUACUGGAGUCAACUCAGGCAACUCUGAUGCUUGGUCAGGGCGUCAAAUACCUCUAAGGCAGGGCUAUCCCCAUGACAAUCUACUUAUCUGCCUCCACAGUAUCUAGAUCAGGGCCUCCCUCAGGAUCCAAUCUUGCACCCUUGUCCCCUUCCUCCUCUGACCAGCCCUGUCAAGACAUCUCCACAGGGUUCAUAAACAUCCCCCUUUAGUCCAUAACCUGCACUAAAUCCAAGUGAUGUGGUGAUCAAAAAAUAUUUUCAGUGUCUGGUAUUUCUGAACUACAAGACAGCAGAGUGUCCCCACUCAACAGAAGGUAGCAGUGAUGGCUUUUAACAUACACCAUUAGAACUGCAUGGUGGCAGCUUUGGGAGAUGUUAGCUGUUGGAAAAAGUAAAGGAGGAGAGUUGCUGGCUGUUGUGAUUGAGAGCAUGCCAGAGAUAGUCUGACUUAACUGUUUUGUCCUCUGAAGCAGCCAAUUCCCCUCUAUUGCUAGAUAAUGUCCCUCACCACUUUUUGUCUGACUCAACAGGCAUAAUAAUAAGCUGCAUGAAAUGCUUUGUAAAUUAAGAUGGUGCUCCCGCCAAAACAGGCAACGAGCGCUAGAAGAAGAAGGUAUAAAAUAGUGGUCAUGUUAUUGGGGGGGGGAGGUUCCUGGCCUGGUAAAAUUCCCCCACAAACCCCUAAACUAUUAUAAGGCAGCCACUUGGAGAGGGGACUUUCUGCAAAUUAAAUAAAUCGGCUUCAAGAACUUCCUAGCCCCGAUGCUGCAGCCACAGCUGGGGAAAGGAGCGAGCCACUGCGUGAAGCCAAGCCGUCCGGCCAAUUAAAGGCAGCGGCAAGCUCCAAAAGCUCGAGGGGCCGCAGCCCCGUGGGGUAAAAGCCCCUCGGGGAGGAAGAGAAAGGCAAGGUAAAGAGGGGAAUUAAUCGGGAGUAAGGCUAAAGGAGAAAUCAAAGAAAGGAAAAGGGGAAUAAUAGAAACAGAUCACCAAGCGGAAUCGUCGAAGGUAGAUCGCUCUUUCUCUCGGCUCGCAGCGGACACGUUGCUAGUGUUCUGAUGCACGUUCCGAAAGAGGAAGCUCUGGGUCACGUGCAUAGGUAUAUAUAUAUAGGUCCCUUGAUCCGUUUAGCCUGUGUCCCAUUGGCCUGAUUGAACCCAGCAUCAAGGGACCUACCAAUUGGGUGUUGUGGCUAUCCAAUCAUACCUACCCACAACACAGGGUUUGGUUGCCAGGUCUCACCGCAACAUGUGCCCUCUUUAAGGGAGGACCCAAUUAACUUUAUCUCCCCCCCCCUCUUUUUUCUUCUUUUUGAUGGAAAAGAGCAGUUCAGAAUGCAGGGGGGGAAACUGUUACUGGAGUCUGUGAGGCCAUCUUCUUCAUGAUGGCUUGAGACUCCCUACUGAUUAGAAUAACCCUCUAGUCAUCUGUGUCAUCUGUGGCGCUAAUUUAAAGGCCAUAGUAAUGUCACCAAACAGCUGAACAGCGGCUGAAAAGGGAAUCUCUUUAAAGCAGAUUUUUAUCUGCACUUUAUUAAAUUUUUCACAGAUAUUUUCAUCCUGCCAAAUAAACAAGCAAAGCCAUGAAGUGAUAUGUCGAAAACAUUUGAAUGCCUCAGACCCCCCCUUUAAAUAUCUCUCCAUGGGCACUGAGCCCAAAGCCAAUCUCCCAUCUCUGUAGAGAAGAUUUGCUUUAGCCGGCACGUUUUUCCCAUUUCCAAAACCAGACUUUUGUAGUGCUUUGAAGUUUUAUAGUGAUAAUAUUUAACACAUUGCUCCAAGCCAGAGUAAAUAAAAUAUCUUAAAAUAACCACAGCCCUUGCAACAUAUCUAUUUGAAAUUAACUUUUAAGAAUCCAGAAGGAUAGUGCCGAUUAUAUUACUUUUAAUUAAAUAUUCCAUUUUUAUGGAUGUAUAAAAGCUGCCUCAUCCUAGUGUGGAGUAGGAGCUAAAAAAAAUCUUGGAGUGGGCAUUUUGCAUGCUAUGAAGAUAACAGGCAAAUGUGAUUCUGAUGGGGUGGGUUUCCUCAUGUCUCUGUUUUAGCAUUAGGCCUACCUUCUCUUGCCAUGUGGGGACUGAAGUCGCAGGUUCAAUCCUCAUCAUCUCCAAGAACAUUGGCGUCAAUAUAUGCUAACUCAGUGUCCUGUCAUUUUUCCUUGACCUGAUUUUUAGAAUUGGUGUUUGUUUCAGGAUAUUAAAUGCACUGUUGACUCCUGGUUUUAGGGGGCUCUUUGCCAAGAUGCUUUCCGUUGCCUUUCCUCCCUCAGUGAAUCUACUGCCUCGCUGCAGCUGGUCCAAGGGUUCUUGUCAGUGGGCCCCAUGGUGGGGAGAUUCCUGACCAUGCAAACCUUGGACUGAUUAAAUUCCUCUUGAAUCCUAUACGUAGGAUUGGUUUUGGAAAAAAAAUUACAUACAUCUUUCAUUCCCUUAUAUGAGCAUUCAUAGGAUACUUCCAAACGUAAUCUCGUAAGUACCAAUUGAAUGCCUACUAAUUGACAGUAUCAGUUCUUGCUGUUUUCCCAGCUGUCUUUGAGCAUAACAAAUAGGAAUAUCCAGCAUUCUGUAGUAUGCAUUAUAAGAAUAUUGCCAGUUGCCAUUUAACUAAAUUAGAUCUUUCUAGCUCUUCAAAAUAUUUUUUUAUCCUUUUGAGGGGGGAAAACAAGACUACAACUGUAUAUCCAUUCACUGGAUCUCUGUUUUGCAGCUACCUCAGUUUAUUUCUUUUAAAAAGAUCUUGAUUUUUUAAAAAUUGGUUACUCUGGGGAAUAAUGCACCUACUGAGUUGGAUCCAGACAUGCUGCUCCACAAAUAGAAGAGCUUUUUCUCUUCAUGGAAAGGACUCUGAUCCAGGGGAGGCUUCUGGUGGAGGAAAGAGAGGCAAUUUUUGCCUCUUUCUACCUGGAGCCCUCAGCAGCACCUCAUGAGAAGCUUCUUAGGGGAUUUCAAACAGCAUUUUUUUUGGGGGGGGGAGGGAGAUUAACCAGCAAAAAAUAUAUUCCCCCCACUUCCUCCAUGGAACAUCCCAGGAGUAGAACCUCUUUAAGAAAAUCUGGAUCCAAACCUUUAGUUUAGGCUUGGAUUAGGCCAAGAGCCCAUCUAGUCCAACACACUGUUAUCACAGUUGCCUACCAGAUGCCCUUGGGAAACCUGCAAGUGAAACCAGAAAAAAUAUAGUGGUUUCCCGACCUUUCCCCCCAGAAACAGGUAUUCAGCAGCAUUGGAGAUAGAACCUAGCCAUACUUAAAACAGUGUACAAUAAAUUCUCUUGUGAUUCUCAAAAUUCUUAGUUGAACUAACCGUCUAAUAUUUUAUUUGUGAACAGCCAUGGUUAUUUUAGUGAUUUAACACUCUCCACUCCUGUUGGUAGCAGCUACAUUGUGCAACAAUUUCUGUUCUUUGAAGAAUUAUCACUUAUUUGUGUUCAGCAGGUUAGAUGCACUUCUCUGCUGUUCUGUUUAUCUUGGUAGCUUUUGAAAACAGUGGAAAUUAUUCUCUAAAGGAGGUUGGUCUGUGUUCUUUGUUCAGCACCCAGCAUGACCUGUCUUUUUGCCUCUAGCUGGUGAUGUGACCACCCACCCCUUUACAAGCCAGAGGUUAUUGUGCUUUGCUGUUUAAUUCCAUGCAGAAGUUUCCACCUUAUGCAAGUUUGCAACAUGUCACAUAUUUAUAUGCUUGUUUGGGCAACAAAUGCUUUCUUUGUUUCACAUUACUCAUUGCCAGUGGCAUAAUCAUUGAAAGCACCUAAAUGUUGUUAAUGUAACAGGUUUGGCCUGAUUGUUAUAGUUCUUAGGAGAAAAAGCAUAUAAGGUUUUUAACUUAGGACUUCUUUGUGGGAUUGAGCAGUUUUAACACCGGUGAAGGGCACUGUACACCACUUGGUCUGAUGCAGGAGUCUCCCUUUUCACUUUAGUGAUACAGGCGGCUCUCCCAUCAAAGUAAAUAGGGGUGAUCCUGUGUCAUUCAGGCAAGGUCCCUUACUAGUUUCCCAUGUCUGGAGCUGCCCAGGGGAACAAAGGAAGCAAGAACUGUUAAGUUACCGCAAAGCAAAUACCCUCCUAUGGAAGCACAUACCCUUUUGCCUCCUAUAGAUGCUCCUAUAGAUCCUCUUACCCUGGCUCAUUUCAUAUUGAUACAUUUUUGAAGCACUCAUGUCAAGUGCACCAUCUUCACCUCUCUGGACAUGUCAAUUUCAUAGAGCGUUAGGGAGCACCUUAUAAGGUUCAGAGGUAACGGUCUGAACAUUUGUGACCCAGAGUUUGUGACUGUUUAUGAUCUUAUGCAAGAACAAUGCUUACAGAUAAGCAAUCUUUCUUUCUUACAUUUAGAUUGAAUCCCUGACUGUGUUUCCCUUUUUUUCUGCAGUUACACUAGAAGUGCACAUAUUAGAUUUUAAGGUAAUUGUAGUGAUUGGAAUCACUAAAGACUCUCAAAGAGAUUAAAGGACCAAUAAAGUUAUUAAACUGAAAGGAGGGAGGGAUCUCACAGAAUAUAACCUUGGAAAGCAUGGCGUGCUUUCAACUGAUACAUUAAACAUGGAAAUGUAUCUGAGAGAGAACAACUAAAAAUGUCCAGAUAGCCGAAUCACAAUCAGUUCUGUCAUGUUAUAAAUUACAAAUGGAUUUUAUGCAUCACCUUUUAUUUCAUUUGCACAGUUUUUAAAAGAAGGAUAUUUCCUUUGAUCUGAGAUAUUACAUUUCACAGUGUGGGGUGCUUUAAUUUUCUUCCAUUUUGGAAAGAUUGGCACUGGCAAAAAUCCUUUCUCGUACCUCUUGCUUGUGCCAAGAGGAAGUCCAAGGUGGUUGUACAUCCUGUAUCUUAGAUAUUUCUACACUAUGUUGGUAGGAUAAAAACGGGUUUAGAAAUGUAUGCAUUUAGAUAAACCAUGUUAAGCAAUAAGUAUUUUGUAAGAAAAUACAUUCAAAAAUGCAUAUUUAAAGAUACAGACAUACCUUGGAGAUUUUGCGGGUUCAGUUCCAGAACACCACAAUAAAGUGAAUAUUGCAAUAAAGCACAGCACACUUUUUUUUUUUGUUUCCCAAUGCAUAAGAUGUGUGUUCCAUUUUUGGAAAGCCACUGUGGAUGGAGAUUGAGUUUGUGUGUGUGCUUGUUUGUUUUUUGUAUUUGGAAUUUUUACUGAAAGCUGUUUUGAGGGCUCUAUUGGAAAAGCAGGAUAUGCAUUCCUAAGUAAAAAAAAAUUAAGCCUCUCAUACUUGUCAGUAUUUUGAUAACUCUCUAUGCUGUGUUACUGCUUACAUUUUGAUGCUUAGAUCAUACAGUGGAGUUUCAGUCACCUAAUUGUUCAGAUUUGAUGUACAGGAUCUGCAGUGUUGCAGUAAACAUGUGAACUGCUUUAAAGCUUUUAACACUCUUUUUUGUAUAAACAACUUGAUAUAGAUGUUAAAAAGGAAUCCCUGUGAAGCGUUUUGGCGGGAAAUGCUAUCUUGAUCACACUAAGCACAUUCUAGUCUUUCUUCCUCAUUUAGUUUUGAAUGCUCCAGGGGGAAUGAUUUUCAUGAGAAAUUUGUGUUGGUAAUCGCAAACAGACAUAAUUCUGUAAUUUUCUCAUGAAGUAUUGGCUAAAGUUUUGGCUUUAAUGACCUGACACUUUUCCAAAGAGGAACACAUUUUUGUUCAAACUCCAAGAAAAACAGCAUAAACAGCACUGGAGUUUUUUUUAAAAAAAUUGCUCAACAUUUUAGAGCUAUUUUCAAUAAGCAGAGCAUAUAACCUAUCAAUUUGUAAAAAUAUAAUGAGAAUUCAAGCCUAUUCAACCAUUUCAUUAAUGUUCUGGUGGAGGCUGGGUUGCUUUCAUCAGUUGCUCUAAGAUGAUAUUUGAGUAUAAAAUUGCCUUAUGGAAAUAGCUGAGAUUCUCGUACAAGUAAAAAUGUGAAACUAGUUCCAUCAGAGCCCUUGCAUGCCUGGGCAUGAAAUCUGAAAAUAAUGCAACAACUUUCUCAGAUGAAUAGUCUCAUAUAUAGUCCCCAUUUGGCAGUACAGUUAUACCUUGUGUUGUGUCCGCUUCAUGUUGCGUCUUUUCACGUUAUGUCCCGCGACAACCCGAAAGUACCAGAACAGGUUACUUCCGGGUUUCGCUGCUCACACAUGCGCAGAAGCGCCAAAUUGCACCGCGUGUCUGUGCAGAUGCAGUGCUUCAAGUUGUGGGCAUUUUGCGUUACGGAUGGGUCUCUGGAACGGAUCCCGUCUGUAAUACGAGGUACCACUGUAGCUAUUAAAUGGUUAUUCUCUCAAAAAGAAACAGACUUGUAUGAGUUUCCAUAUGUAUGUAUGUAUGUAUGUAUGUAUGUAUGUAUGUAUGUACCGGUAUGUAACAGCUUGUGUGUAUUGGGAAUUGAUAUAGUAAUUUAUGAAUACAUAUUGUUUACAUUCUGGAGGAUACAGGUACAAUAUUUGACAUCUCCAGGUAAAGAUGGAAAAGGCUUUUGUCUGAAACCCUAGAGAGGUGGUGCCACUUGGGGCAUAUGAUACUGGGUUAUAUGUCCACAAUGGCCCAUCUCUUUUUUAUCUUUAUUUGAAUUGUCUUUCCUUCCAGUGAUCUUGUGUGUGUGUGUGUGUGUGUGUGUGUGUGUGUGUGUGAGAGAGAGAGAGAGAGAGAGAGAGAGAGAGAGAGAGAGAGAGAGAGAGAAUGAAUACCAUGGGGUCAGUUAUUCCUUGUAACAGUUUUAAGAUGCCUGCAGUUUUUAAUAACUCCUUUUCUUUCAAAUGCAUGCUGUUAGUUUUCUUUGAAAAGAUUCAGCUGGGAACAAAUGCUAGAAUCACAUCCUGCUUCUAUUUCAGUGAAUUAUUUUUCAACUUUGAAGGCCCACACUAGAUUUUUUUUUAAAAAAAGAUGUGUUUGAAGAGAGAAGGAAGGACACUGUUUGAUGUUCAGUGAUAUUGUGAAGUCUCUUUGCAGUGUUUUAUCACUUCCCAGUAAAUGCGUAAACAUAAUUAUUGUGAUUUUUAGACUUUCUUAUCAGGCUUUAGGGGCCUCUGGAUUUUCAUUUGACCUUGCUUUAAGUAGUUGUCUUUUUUCCUCCUUUAAGGAUUUAUCUUCACUUUCUUAAAAGACAGUAAUCCUUUUACCGAUUCCUGGCUGUUAUGGAAGAAAGACAAAGAUACAACAAGUAUAUGCCCUUUUCCUUUCAACAGCGGCCAUGAAGAACUUGUGAUUAGCUUAGAAUGCAUAAUAUUUGACCUAAGCUGUGAGAGGAUGUCAUUACUUGAUGGGAGAUUCAGGACAGAUAGCAGGAAACAUUUCUUCAUAGAGUGCCUCGUUAACCUAUGGAAUUUGCAAUCACAUUCAGCACUGAUUGCCACUAGCUUAGAGAACUAAGGAUUGGAAAUUCAUGGAGGGUGGCAGCUAAAUGCUACCUCCAGGAUCAGGAGAAUGAGAGACAGUGGAGGGCGCUAUUGUCUUCCUGUCCUGCUUGUUUCCACCCCACAAGGCAUCUACUCGAGGUAACCACUUGGGGAAAGAGGAUGCUGUCCUAGAUAGGCAGGACUGCACUUACAUUCUUGAUAACUUCAUGGCUGAGUUAAGAUUUGUUCUAGAGAUUUCCUGGUUCACAAGUCAGACUGUUAGUCACUAAAGCACACCAGCACUAGCCAACUAAGCAUAUAUGUAGGUAGCAUGCCAAUGAGGCAGGUCUGGCCUCUCCCAUGUUAGACUGCCUAUGCAGCUCUCAAACUGAAUGCCUGUGGUGAGCAACCACAAUGUCAGAAUAAUUUAGGAAACAAUCCUAAGUGAAAGCCAUGAUUCAGUGGCCAGGCCAUCUCUUGUUCCAUAAAUGGCACAGGGGAAAAGCCAGAAGGAAGCGAUCCAGAGAGGAAGAAAAAUCAGCACAAAAUGCAAGCAAAUCAUCUCUUGGUUUUUGUUUGCAUAGCACAAAGCCUUCUGCCUUUAUACUGUUUGGGUUAUAGGGCUAGAAUAGAGAUAUUAUACCAUCAUAUACAAAUCAUGCUGCCAUUCUACUUGUCCCAUCUCCCUUUCCAUAAUCAGGCUCUUAGAGUCACUCACAUAUCUGUACUGUGUCAUAGAUUUGUCCUCGUUACUUGCAGGUCAUAACAUUAUGUGGUUCAUGGAGUGUAGUAGGUAAUCCACUCCACUCCCUGAACCACCCACCAUUUUGUAUCUAAGUUAACUUCUCCAAGCCACACUUUUUUUCCCUUCCUGGCUGUAGUUGAUGGAGCAUAUGGUCUAGUAAAAAAAUAAUGUAGUUCACCCAGACUGAAAACCUCCCCACACCUGAUCUGCAGUUGUGUCAUUCUCUUCCAUUCAAAGGCUCAGGGAAGCUUAAAUGGAGCUUCUGUGAUCCAGACCAUCUUUUUAAUGACGUUGUCCAGAGUAAGUGAGACUUCUUUAGCUGUGUAAAGAAACAGUACAUUGUAAACAGUACAAUGUACCUUCAGACAGUUUCCUGUGAAAAAUGUAGGUGAGAAUUAGGACAAAGUUUGCACCUCCUCUAGAAACAUUUUGUUUCACCAGUAGUCUCAUGGCACUUUGAGAACCCUGGAUUUUCAUUUCAGCUCUGGUGUUCUUUUGCCCUGUGUUUUCAUGCCCUGGUUUAUAUUGAAAAUGUGCUAGGACACCAAACAUCACUAGCAUUUAUCGUAAGUCAUAUAUAUGGAAAUGGGCCAUGAACUUAUGGCAGUUUCUAUUUUGAAUUGAUAUUGCCUUCAGCCAGAUCUCCAUUUCAAACUAUAAGCCUGAACUCCAGAUUGAAAUCUGAUGUCACCUGUUGGUAUUCUUUUUUUUUAAUGAAAAUUGUUGGGAAAAUGCUUCUGCAUAUGUGCGGUUAAUUCUGCCCUCCUUGUGCUUGGGUCUAGAAAGAGUCAGGAUUGAAUUCCUUGUUAGUCCCUGCAUGCUGUCAUUUUGUGCAGUGGAGCCUGAGAACUGAUUACCAUAGUAACAAUGUUUUAGCUUGUAUAGCUGCAAAUGUUGUUAAUGGUAAUAGAAUUAUCUAGUUAUUUUAAAUCCAAUUAUGUUAUUAGGCCAUCCAGUCCAUUCUCAUACUACAGCAUGUUUUACUCUGCCAUCUCUAUCUUUUUUGGGGUGUGUGCUUGUGUAUAUUAUUGAGCUGCAUAAAUUCCCUUCUGUUCAUUUGAAGAGGUUGUCACUGCUGGUCAAGAAUUGUUUCACUUUGUGGUCACCUUCACAGUGGAGUGGGGUUGGGGUGUACAUAGGGAUCUUAUAGUGUUAGGUGAGAUCCCCCCCCCCCAAGUUCCUGCCCUGCUUUUUAAAACAAUUGCUCAUAAAUCCGUCUCUUGUAUCAGGUCCUAUGUCUACACGAGUCAAGUCUAGCAUUCUUACCAGCUGUGUAAGAAUAUGCUUCAUGUGGAAGGGACUUAAACUACUUGAGUUACUGAAACAAUAAUCUUUACCAUGUAUGAAAAGGCAGUGUAUGCCUACAUCCCACAACCAGGGAAAGGAUGUGGGAUCUGUGACCAAUCAGAUGUUGCUGUACUAUAAAUCCCACCAUCCCUGAGUAUUUUGGUAGCUGUUUAGAAGGGAGUUGGAGAGCUAUAAGUCUGGUCUAGGGAUUUUUCUUCUGCUUCUUUAUUCCCCUUAUAAACACUUUAAGUGUCAUGAUAGCCCCCUGAGCAGUCCUGGGAAUUAUAUGCAAUACGAAGUGGUCGCCAAUCUUUAAUGGGGAAUUUGUUCAUAAAGCACUUCUACUAAUAGAUUCCAAUGUACCAUUUUGGAAUUGCUUACCUUGGCUGAUCCAGCCUUGAGAAAUUUUAUCCCCAGAAGAAUUUUGAUGUAUCCUGUAUACAUACUGUAUAUUCCUGCAUAUAAGACUACUUUUUAACCCAGGAAAAUCGUCUCAAAAGUCGGGGGUCGUCUUAUAUGCCGGGUUGUAUUUCUUAUACGGCGAGUAUAUCCCAAACUCUUUAUUUUAACUGGGAAAGUUGGGGGUCGUCUUAUAUGCCCAGUCAUCUUAUAUGCCGGAAUAUACGGUACUAUGUUGAUGUAUCCUGUAUACAUACUCUUUUGCUCCUAUCCGUUUAAAGCAGGGUGCUAUCCCAAAUGUACUGAUUUUUAUAUCGUUUGCAACCCCACCACAACUAUUUUAGGAUGUAUUUGAAACUCCUACACAAUUAAAAGUAAGAAUAUUUUUUUAAUUCAUUGUUCUCACUUCAUAGAUCCCCAGUAAGAUUCAUUGAAGAGUUUAUCCUUUGUUGUGUGAAAGAAUUCUACAAGCAAGAUUUGCAGAUGUAGAUGUAAUUUACCAUAUUUGAGAGAAGUAGCAAAUUAUUGAGAAAGAUUAAUUUAAAAUCCAUUGGGAACUUCCCUCUGGUAUUCAUGAUUCUGUGAGUACUUUAGAUUUCAAAAUACUCAAUGUUUCUAAUUCACUGUCACAGCAUUUCAUAUACUGUACAGUACAAGGAGAUACAGUACAAGGGACGUGGGUAGCGCUGUGGUCUAAACCACAGAGCCUAGGGCUUGCCUAUCAGAAGGUCAGUGGUUCGAAUUCCCACGACGAGGUGAGCUCCCAUUGCUCAGUCCCUGCUCCUGCCAACCUAGCAGUUCAAAAGCAUGUCAAAGUGCAAGUAGAUAAAUAGGUACCACUCUGGCGGCAAGGUAAAUGGUGUUUCUGUGCACUACUCUGGUUCAUCGGAAGCAGCUUAGUCAUGCUGGCCACAUGACCCAGAAGUUGUACGCCGGCUCCCUCAGCCAGUAAAGGGAGAUGAGCGCCGCAACCCCAGAGUCGUCCGCGACUGGACCUAACGUUCAGGGGUCCCUUUACCUUUACAAGGAGAUAAGUGUGCAAGCAGCAAAGUAUGGGUCACAUUUUUUCCAAAUGUGACGUUAGAUAAAUACGGAAAAGAGGAAUUGAACAUACAUUUGUUUGUAGCCUUGUCUCUAAAAGAACUCCUUGCAAUUUCAUCAGGAUCCAGCUGAUUCAGUUACAUUCUAGGGCUCUAAUGUGUACACAGGAGUGUUAUACAGUACAAGCAUCCUUUCCCAUGACUCAUACAUGAGUAGCUCCCCGCUGCGUAGUGUAGGGCAUCCAAAUUUGGAUGGAAUGUUUCCCAAGACAAUCCAGGCAGUUACAGAGUGCUGUGUGCGUUCAUGCAUUGAAUUGCUGUUACCUUGGACAAUGCACUUUCCGGUUAACUUUCAUAUCAACAAUAUGAAUGAAGACAAAUGACAUCCAAGUGAAAGACAGCAGAGCUUAAGAAAAUAUUAAUCAACAGAACACAGUCAUUUUUCAGAUAAGCCUUAGCCAAGUGCAGCAUUCAGAUACCCGAGCACAAUCCAGAUAUAUUCACCAUGCUGUUCUGCCAUCACCCUCUAAUGUUGUCUUUUAUGGGUUCUAGCUUUCCCCACUGGGUUUCUAAGGACGCUCUCUGCAUUUCCUUUCACUGUGAGAUUUUGGCUUGUUCUGAGCUUUCUGUGAUUAUAGAAAGUUUAGGUUACAUUUUCCCAGUAUAUACUAUAACAACCUUCUAAGCCAAUCCACUGAUUUGAUUAGAUCCUUCUGGACUUUAUCAUAAAGAGUUACAAGACGGUUGCAUAGUUACCAGAAAGGAAGAAAAGAAUAUCCAGCCUCCAUAACUUCGUGUCACCAUCAAGUUUUACCACUUUGGUUUCCAUUUCCUCAUCUAGGUAAUUAAUAAAUCCAUUAAACAGCCAUGGCCCCAGUCUCAAUCCCCGGGGAAACAAUUAGUAACUUCUCCCAUCUUUCCUCUAACAAGGCUUUUAAAACACUCCAUUGGCCUAAACUACUUAGAAGUGAGUGUGAGUUUUUAUUGCCCUCAACUUACCUAUGUGGAAGGGGGACAGGAGGCAGGGCUGCUUUUAAUCAAUUUUAUAGAUCUUUGUUGCAUUGCAUUUUAUAUUAUUGUAGUAUUUUAAGCUACACGAGUUUUCAAGGUUUUUCUUGGAGCAGGGAAGAAAGGCAAGAAUUCAAUAAAGCGUAGAACCCACUAGGACAAAGAAAUCCUGGCAUAGGUACUAAAGGAUUUUUGUUUUGUUUGGGUACAAGGUGUUAGUGUUAUGGAAAAACAAAGAACAUCAUCUAGAAUAUAACAAGAGCACUGAAUCAGACAAAAGGUCCAUUUAGUCCAGCAUUAUGUGGCUAACCAGAUCCCUAAAGGAAGCCUACAAGCAGGAUCUGAGCUGUCUCCACCCCACCCCACCCCACCCCCUGUGAUUUCCAGCAACUGGUAUUCAGAGGCAUACUGCCUCUAACACUGGAGGUGGAACAUAGCCAUUGUGGCUAGGAGCAAUUUUUAUCCUUAUCCUCUUCCUUCCCUGGAGGUUCACGAAUAUUCAGGAACCCAGGAAACAUAUUUCCAUAUUUCCAUAAUGUACAAGGACUGGGGCCCAAAGAAUAGAACAAGUAGUUUCACAUGCACAGGGGACUUUGGGUUUGUAUUUCUUAAAACAAACUGGAUUUGAAAUUAAGCUGAUUUAGUGGUGUGAUAUGGGAUCUAUUAAGCAAAGAAAAAGGUCCCACUUGAUCUGUUUCUAUUGACUGUCUAGAAUGUCUUUUCUGUACUCUCUGUACAUUGCAUUUUCUUAGCAUGGGAGUGUAAGCUUGCUUCUUACAUUUUUAUUCUGGAUUGUUUGGGAACAUUGCCAUAACAUUUGCUCCCCUCUCCUCCAACUAACUUUGGGCAUGUCUAUCCUUUUGUAAUGCUGCUGCUAUAAAGCAGCAAAUGAAUACGUACCUGGGAGCAAGUCCAUUUGCAUGCAGUGGGACUUAGGCAUUGCUCUUAAUGUCAUUGCUCCAUUUCUAUGGCUAGACAUUCUUACUGAGCAAAUAAUACUUAACACAAAGGUGUAUUAUGGCUUAGGCCAAAAUUUGCAUGUCAUACUAAGCCAAAUUAUGACUUAGUGCAAAUGUGUGGUUUGCAGGCUCCUGGAGAGAAAUUUCCCCUGUUGCUCUAUUGCGGUGCUGACCAUGUUUGGCUUGGCUUGUUGUCCAAACCCAGACUCAGGUUUAGCUUUCCCAGGCAAACCACAUUCUGUAAACUAUAGAAUAAAUUGUUGUUAGGCUGGAAAGAGAAGGAUUUGAUGUUUGGUUAUCAUGGGAAGUCAGCUAUCUUCUGCUGGUUGAGAUUAUGGAGAUCUCACUCACUUUCACACACUGAUGCUGUUUCUGUCUAAUAACAACAGGGAACAUUAUUCAUUACUAGAAAAAGUAUUGACCACUCUCAUUCCACAGAAAUUGUUUAGAGGAUACCUCUUAGAAGGCACAUUCUAGCCCUCCUAGAAAGAAAGUUGUGAGAGACUGACUUGUAUUUUAAAAUGAAAGCAUAGUGUCCGGGGCAUGUACCCAAGGCACCACUGGAUGACAUCAUGGCUUCCAUGGGCACCAGGUUGCUGUCCAUGGGUGUAGCCAGGAUUUAUUUUAGGGGAGGGCAGGACUUCUGUUAGGAGAUGCAAUUGGUCAGUUAAGUAUUUUUAUUUAUUUACUUGAUUUAGGGGGGCAGCUGCCCCCCCCGGCUAUGCCCAUGUUGCCGUCCCCUAUCCUAAUGCAAUUUUUCUGUGAACUUGGGCAUUGCAUUUUAGCCUUGGGAAUUCCAGUUGUCCUUUGAUAAUCUUAAAAUUAAUAUGGUCCAUUAAUUUGUUACCAGGAAAGUCACUGCCUGUCCAGCAUUAUCAUCUAUUGGAGCCUUGGACUGCUGUUGAUUUGUGAUUCCCUUCAGUAGAUGGCUAUAACUUAACCUGAGCAUGUUAACUUAAUGAGUGUUUAAUUAAAACCCACCAGUAAAACUGCAAAGAUGCAGACAGUCUUCAGCUCCCAUUAGGGUGCUGUGCCUAGCAAUCAGAGCAGAAAAAAUAGUGGAAGUCUUUAGUGAGAUUUCAAGAAGUUGUUUGCCAGAAAUUGAUUCACUGAAUGACCUGUGAAGGAUCUAAUGCAGGCGUCCUGUGGAGUUAACACUCUGAUUUUAAAGAUGCAUAUCUGCCACCAGAACCCCUUUGCACAGACAAAAGGGAGUUUAUAUACAUAAUUGUGUCAAUUUUGUCAUAUUGGAACUGAAUGCUUGAUUUGUAGUAUUGCUGUGAAUAUUUUGUGUGUGCUAAGCAGCUCUGUGAUUGGCAACUAAGAUGGUUAUAUGCCUAUGGCAUGGUGUCAAUAGGACUACCUAGGUCAGACUUCCCAAAGCUGGUGACCUCCACCGCAAACCUGAAGCAAACACAUGCACAGGGCAGUUUUGAUCCCAGUAACAAGGGUAACUUGAAAUAGUUUGAAAGAGGGGUGGUGAUUUGGGAAAGGCGGCGAGGCUGCAGCAUCUCGGAACACUAAACUCAGAACUCCAGUGGUGUAUCUGUUAUACGUUAAAAGAUGAUGUGAACAGAGAAUGGCCAAGAAUCUAAGACAGAGGUCAGCAACCUAAGGCCCAUGGGCCGGAAUCAGCCCAUGAGGGUCACUUAACUGGCCCAUGAGCCGGCCCUGAACUGAGCUGAUCGCUUGUCAAGUCCCUGCGCGCUGUGCUAAAAUGGCACAGUGCGGUGCCGAAACUCUCUUUUGCGGCUCUGGAAAUUGCUUCUGUACAUGCACAGACGCCGAAAAUCGCUUCUGCGCAGGCGUGAUUUUCAGCAUCUGGGCAUGCAAAUAAGCGAUUUCCAGCACCGCAGACAUGCACAGACGCAAUUUCCGGUGUCACGCUGGGCUGGCCCACGGAGGAUUUCCGCAGGAGUGAUCCGGCCCAUUCCCAGUAAGCCUUGCCGACCCCUGAUCUAAGACAAUCCUACUGGAUCAGGCCAAUGGCCUAUUUAGUCCAGCAUCCUGUGCUCAUAGUGGCUGAUCAGAAUUAUUGCUCUGUGGCAUGUGCUAGGUUCAGGUUUGAGGUGGCUCUGAGCAAAGUACAUCCUCAGAUUUCUCUGUUGGUGACCUGUGGUGGUCUUAACCUGGAAGUAGUGUCUGACAGCAGCACUCUAAGUGGUGCCAAAUGAUGGUGGAGGAGGGUGCAGUUUUAAUUUAUCACAAUGCCCUGGAGCAACACUAUGUUGGGGGAUUGGGGGGAACAAAAGUGGCAGCUUGACUCAGUUGUUGGUGUUGCUUAGGGCACAGGGCCAGGGAAAGCACUGAGGAGGAGGAGGGGCAAGGAAGGUGCGGUCCCUUUCAGAGUUCUAGGCCCCAGCAGGUGCCCAAGGAUACUGGGAGCUCACACUAACCAAGUUUCCUGAGUGUGCCACACAGCUCUACCAAUUUUAUGUUUCAGUUGCAGCACUGCUCCCAGUCAGAAAUGUGGUCUCCCAAGCCCAUAUGCCCAUGUGGAAAGAAGUGCCUGCACAGUGCUCUGGAUCUCAGAGACUGAUAUUGAGGAAUGUAUUGUAAUUUUGUAAAUGUACCUUUGACUCAGUGGGGGAAAGAAAAAGCUAAAUUAUAAAACCAGCAGCUGUAGGCUUCUUCACUAGGGCAGCUAUGGGGACUGGAGGUAUAAACCCUGAAGGCUAACUCAUUAUUUCAAGGUGUAAGAUUUAUGUGUUUGGCCUUGGAGUUCCUGGAUUCAUAUCCUGGUGUGGUGUUGGGUAGGAUGGCAGCUGCCAGGUUUGCAAGGAUUUAAAUGUUGUAAUGUUUCUCUCUUGCUUUACAUUCCAGAGAUAAUUAAAGCCUUCACCUGCGAAGGCCUGUUAGCGUGCAACAACUGGGAGCGAAAGAGUACAGAACAGAAGACGGGUUUUUCCAUUCUGCAUCGAGCAGACUGAGAUGCGAUUAACUUAGCAAAAUGAGUGGAAAUGAAAACUAAAUUGGAUUUUAAAGAUUCUUUCAGUUUUAAUAAUAGAGCAGAGUGUUAGUGACACAGGAAGGGAAAAUGGUUUUUAAAAUGGUGAGUGUUAUUUUUAUCUUGCCACUUUGCCCUUUUUAAAAUUGCAGAGUUGCAGGAAAUUUAGAAUUAUGGCAGACCUACCAGGGUUUUGACCCGUCCAGGAUACCAGAAUCCUGACAUUAUUAAAACAUAUUUAUUUUGUGUUUAAUUAUGUUUUAAUUAGAAAUGCUAUUAAUUUCCUAAUGACAUCACCAAUGACUCUAUUGCAGGGAUUUAAAAAAUGAGAAGUGAUUUUUGAAAAAUACGGAAAGGCCAUUUAAGUAAGGUCAUUUUCAAGUGACAGAAAACAGAACACAAAGACUUCUAGCUUACGUCUAGGUUUACACAGGGGAACAGAAUGAAACAUGUUUUUCUGAAGUUAAGAAGAAGAGAAUUGUUGCACUAUGACAGAGGUUUUCAAGUUAAGGAACAAAGGAGUGCUUCGCUUAAAAAAAGGAAAAAAUAAGAAUGAAAGCCAGUGUAUGGAACCAUUUGAAAGUUGCACUAGGGGUGCAUUUCGCUUUCAAAAUCCUAACAUAUUUUGUAUUCACAAAUAAUAGGCCAUGAAUGAAUUGGGGUAAUUUUAACUUUGUUCUUUGAGGAGGCAACGUAAAUUGCACGUUUUCUGCUUUAUAUCCAUAAAUGAGCAUCGGUUUCUGUAUAAUUCCUUCUCUUGCGUUGUCUCCGUGUGCCUAGAAAGGUCAUAAAAGCCAUCUAUUAUGCAUCUGUCUCAGUGCUUCAGACUUAUACAGGUGAUCUCUUUGAGUUUUGUUUCCCUCUCUGUAGGGAUAAUCUUUGUGUCCCAAUGACAUAUGUUCAGUGUGGCUUGGUUUUGCCAUAUAUUUUUUUAAUCACUAACUUAAAUAAAUGCUUUUGUUUGUUUUUACUGAAUAACUUGUACCCGUUGGACUAGAAUGAUAGAUACAUACAUACAUACAUACAUAGACAGGUUCUACAUUAGUGCAAGCAGGUGAACUCAAAAGUGUUCUAUUUAUAGAAGGGCUAAUGGAUGUGUUUAUCUUGACCUACUUUUUUCAGAGUAUUUCACUAAGAAUGUACCUCAGUUGUGUGAAUUCAGGGCUGCCAACAGAUUCCUUGUCUCCAUGGCUUACUUUCCUCUUUUAUAAAGAUUCAGUAAUGUUAUGCACUACAGAGUAUGCUUUCCUAGUUGUUUCUCAGGUGCCUCAUCCGUUUUCUGCACGCUUUUGCCUUGCGUUCACUUGCAGUGAAUAGGAAGUGUGGCAUUCCCAAAAGGAGAAAGUUGUGCCUAGAUUCAGAAGCAGCUGUGGGGUGGAGCCACAAUGCUAGCUUCCCAGCAGCAGCAGGAACAGUGUCACUGCCAAUACUGGAAGGGGGAGCUGUGUCUACCAAGGCUCAUGUGGUGAGGUGAGGCAGUCACAUCCGGUUGCAGAUCCAGCUGCAUCUGCCACACCUGGUGGCGAUGAGUGGUGGCAGAGGAGGCAACUGGGCACAGAGAAGCAACAAAGCAUCCUGGGUUGGCUCUGGUGGCCAUUCAUCAGCAGAGCCAAUUUGGUGCACCCAUACCAUCCCAACCUCCCCAGUGCCCUGCCCCUCUGUUCUGGUAAGCAGCAGCGACUAUCCUGCACCUAUCAAACAACUUAUGACAAGAUUCCACUUCACAGCAGUGUACUUAUUUACAUGGUACUGUCUUCUAACCUUGGAAUAGCAGUAGCUGCUUAAACAAGCAAGAAACAGAUGGAUAAGACAGGAUCCAAAGAGCCUGUUCACACAUUACUUGCAAGUUGUAGAAAUCACACUAUUCACUUUUCCUCUUCUUAUGGUAGUAUUGCCUGGUUUUCAGGAGCUCAAUGAGGGCUUUAGGAUGGGCUGCUGCAACUCAUAUGGCUGCUGUGGGGAAAUUGUUCUGCAGUGGCUUCCAUGAUGUGAAAUUCAUACACGAUGUGAAGUUCAUACAGUCCCAAGUGCUGCAUUGUAUAUAGUACUAGCUGGCCUUGGCGUGUGUUGCUGUGACUCAUCCAUGUGAUUCCUCCCACCCUGUGCUGAUCCAUGGCGUAUCAUACUCCCUCUUCCCCCCACCCCCAGCUCAUCCCUGUGACUGGCCCCACCAUGUCCUGACCUAUCCUGUCCCCUCCUCCCCCCAACCCCCACCGAGGCGAGUCAGUACCUCCAUUUGGCCUAGUCUGUAAAGGCUUCGGCCUAGUAUGUAAACGGGAGCCAAGGUGCUGUUGCGAGGGAAGAUUUUAUAGGUGCAUUACCAGUGUAGCCGCCACUAGACGGCGCUGGUUUGCAACCUGGUUCUUUUCCCAGCAUGCAUUUUCAUCUGAGUGGUGUGUUUUGAAACACAGGGUUUUGGGGUUUUUACCUGGCACAGGUGUGACAUCUGUCUUUGAAAAUGGUACUCUCAUAUUCGCAUGCGGCAUUGUGUCAAAAUUUAAACACAAUCGGUCAAGCGGUUUUGGUGAAACAUGGAUACUAAUGGACAUGGCCAGUUUAUAUUUUUAUAUAUAUACUGUACAUAUCUAGAAGCUAACCAAAGCUCAGGCCUGGUUUCAGUGGUGGAGAGUAUGGGCUUGAGAUCUAAAUUGUUCAAAGAAGCAGAGCAAAAAGCCAUUUUGAUUCCUUUUUUCUCUGUCACUGCUGAGGAAGAAACUUGGAAAACAUAACAUCUCAGGAGAAUUUAGUACUUUAGCUACAUACAUGGGGCGUAAAUGAAUGAUAAAUUGCAGUGUAACUAGAUACUGCCCCCAUAUAUAUUUAACCAUUUGUCCCAUGGUAAUAGCAAAACUUAAUUUAUUGACCCUCCAACAAUUAUUUUGCAGGCAUUAAUUUUAAUAAUUUCCAGAUGUUAGUAUACAAAUGUGUACACCAGGAAUGUGCUAUAUAAGCUGUUACUUCAGGACAAAGUGACCUGAGGCCACUGCUGGAAGGUUUCAUUCUCUUUUUAAGCACUGUGUGUGUGUGUGUGUGUGUAUGUGUGUGUGUAAGAGAGAGAGAGAGAGAUGUGGUUAGAAGUGUGUUUGCUUUGCAUAUUCCAGUUUAACAUGCACAAUGUUUGUGUUCCAAAGAAAAAAUCUAGAGAGGCAAACUACUUACUUUAUUUAUUUCUUUAACUUUAUUUUUUGGAUUAAAUUAAAUUCUUUUCAUCAAAAGAUUCCAGAACAUUGCACAAAAGUGUGGAUAAAUAGUAUCUAUACCAAGAGUGCCAGUGUGGUGUAGUGGUUAAGAGCAGUGUACUCGUAAUCUGGUGAACCGGGUUCGCUUCCCCGCUCCUCCACAUGCAGCUGCUGGGUGACCUUGGGCUAGUCACACUUCUGUGAAGUCUCUCAGUCUCACUCACCUCACAGAGUGUUUGUUGUGGGAGAGGAAGGGAAAGGAGAAUGUUAGCCGCUUUGAGAAUCCUUAGGGUAGUGAUAAAGUGGGAUAUCAAAUCCAAACUACUCCUCCUCCUCCUCCUCCUCCUCCUCCUCCUCCUCCUCUUCAAUAACAACACAGAAGUACAAUUUAAAAUCAACAAAUCAAUAUAACAAAAUACAAGACAAAAUUAAAACCCCUCAAAGCUUAAACGAAAAUUAAACACAAUUCCAACAAAACCAGCCUUGCAGUUUCUAUUUAGGAAAUUAUGUAAAUAAAAUAUUUCUUUAAAUGUUUAUUUAUAAAUAAAAUUAGUUAUUAAUACUGUGCUGCAACGGCAUAAAAUAUGUGCAUGAAAUAAUAAAAUGGUAUUUUCUUUAAUUUCUGAAUUGUUCAUAUUCUUAGAAAGAAUUUUGCAUUGUAAGUAUGUUGUAUGUAUGUUGUAGAAAAUGCUACAGUGCCUGCAUUAAUUAGUACAUCAAAGCAAUCCUCAUCAAUUGCUUUUCAUAUGACUUUCCUUUCUCCCCUUACCAGUAGAUGUCACUUUUGGGACUGUGAAAUCUAUUUUGUUGAUAAGGCAUGUAAACCCACACUUUUAAAUGAUUGUUUUACAGCUGUGGAUUCAUCUGUAAGUGAGCUGUAAUGAUGAUUACUCCCCCUCCCCUAGUUUUGUCUCAACAGAAUAACAAGCAGUGUGUGUAAUCUUAAAAUUGAUCAAUAUUUUCUGCAAACCAUGAAUUCUAUCAGGUGCCUGGAAGAAGGAAGAUAGAGUUUAUUUUGUUGUUGUUGUUGUUGUUGUUGUUGUUGUUGUUGUUGUUGUGUAGUCAUUUAGUCGUGUCCGACUCUUUGUGACCCCAUGGACCAGAGCACGCCAGGCACUCCUGGAAUAUAUUUUUUAGGAUAAAUCAUCCCUUAAGCACACUGAAUUUGAAAAAAAGUAUUUUUUUAAACUGAAUACUUGGUAAAUACAUCCCAAUUAUUUUAAAGAAGCAGCAGGGAAUAGUCUGGGUUUAGUCUGCAGAGAACAUUACAGCUGUAGAACAUCUUCAAGGUCUUCUGACUUCAGUUUUUUUUAAACUGGUAGGGUGGAUCUCACUAUGGAACUGAAGGCAGUUAGGAAGCACUGUUGAAUUCCUCAGUGCUGAACUGCAGCUCAGUGGCAGAUUAUCUGUUUUGCAUGCAGAAGGUCUCUCUUUAAAUCCCUGCCAAAAACAAUCACACACUGUAUAGAACCAGUACAAAAUAUAGAUGAUAGAAAAGCAACAUGGAGCUGAUGCACAUGGUGUGUGAGCAUUGCCACCCACCCCUCUUUGGAAAAAAGUGGCACUUCUUUGCCCUCCAAGACACCCUGGCUUGUGGUUAACAUGCCUUCCUGUUUGCUUCCCAGUCCUCUCUUCCCUGCAUUUCUCUCUCUGAAUGACCCUGCUGUACCUAAUUAUUUUUGAGCACAAGAUUUGUAUUUCCUGAUGCAGAACUUGUUUUAUAUACAGAGCCUUGAGAGUCGCUGACUGUGGCUGGCUUGAAGUGAGCUUUAUUUUGCAAGAUCUGAAGAGCAGUCCCGUGGAGCUCAUUAUGUGAGUUUCACUACACAAUAGCACUUGGUAAAAAAUAUUCUAGAUAAUUCACGUUCGGUGUGUUCCUUCUGCAAGGUCUAAUGCCAAGCCAAUAAGCCAACUGUCUUUUGUUACUUGGAAUACACCCAAGCCUUCACAUAUGUAUUCCAGAUCUUGUGUUUGUGGGGCUUUCUCCUGUAUGUUGAAAGGAAAGUGCUUCCCCGCCUUUUGUUUUCUUUUUCUUAAAUCAAGCUCUACUCUGCUCUGAUUAAAAACAUGUAUUUUUCUUGUUUGCUUUGUUCAUAAGGAGUGUGGAACAGUUUCCUAUUUCCAUUCCAUCUUGCGUAAGCUUUGUGAUUAUAGCCUUGCAUGAGGUUCUCUGUGAAUAUAUGUGUAGAAGUUCAUCUUAGGAGUUGGCUCCUAUUCACUAUUGGAUGUAUUGCUAAUACAAUGGGAAACCAUCUAAUCAGUAGAACAAUUAUUGUUAUUUACUACUUAUUACUAUUACUACAAAUUUUACAUCUCACUUUUCCUCCAAGGAGCAUAUGGCGUACAUAGGUCUCCCCCUCCCAUUUUAUUUUCACAACAUCUCUAUGGGGUAGGUUAGGCUGAGAGGCAGUGACUUGCUUAAGGUCACCCAGUGAGCUUCAUGGCAGAGUGAAGAUUUGAUUCCUCUUAAUAGGCAUCCCGAAACCUUCUUAUUAAAAUAAGGGGGAAUUACAGAAAAUACAAACGAAAUUAAAAAGGGGUACCCCGCAAUCAAAAUGGCGCUCCCACCAAAACAAGAUGGUGCUCCCGCCAAAGUUAGCUGGGUGACGACCUCCCCUACUCGAAAAUAAGGUACAAAAAGGUGAUCGCGUUCAUGGCCCCAGGAAAUUCCUCACCUGCCUCUUAAGCAGAACAGUUGCAAAAAACAAUUCACUCAGAGAUGGAACUCUCCGUGAUGCCCAAAAAACCAUCGGCUGCCCUAUAAAAUUUCCAAGCCCCAAAGCUGCAGCCGGGACCAAGAAGGAAAAGGUACUGUGCAAAAGCCCACUGGCAAUUAAGCAGGCAGUGGCAAGCUCCACAGAAGCCCCCUGGGGCGAAAGCCCCUCUGGGGGGAAUAGAAAGGCAAGGAAAUCAAGGGAAUUAACCAAUGAGGGAAGAAUAACUACCGGGAUAAUCAAAGGGGAAUAAAGGAAAAAGAUCACCAGCAGGCCCGGCUCUAGGGGUAGUCCCGGUGGUGUAGGGCGCCGGGCCGGCAGGCGUGCGCUGCGCCUGCCCACUAGGGCGGGGGCGCCGGAGUGAUCUCUGCGCCACGGCGCCAGGUUGCCCAACCUGCUUGAGACGGCCCUGAUCACCAGGAUGAUCCGUCGACGGUAAAAAGGCUCUCUCAGUUGCACAGAGGACACGCUGUUUCUGUUCCAAAUACACACAUCGAAAGAUGAAGCUCUGGGUCACGUGCAUGGGUAUAUAUAGGUCCUUCCAUGUAUUUGGACUGCGCCCCAUUGGCCAGAUUGAACCCAACAUCGAGGGACCUACCAACAGGUGUUGUGGAUAACCAGUCUUACCCACCCGCAACACAGGUGGUCAGUCUCCAGGUCUCACCGCAACACAUGCCCUCUUUGAGGGAGGACCUGAUUUCAUGGAAGGACAAUCAGAAGUGAAAGGUGGAAUAUUGCUCGCUGCUUCUCCUCUGCAAACACCUUUCACUCCUAGGCUGUCUUCACCCUCCUUUUUUUAACUAGGCAGUGUCAAGGAACUGCAGUAAGUGAACCUGGAAGGGCAUUUGCAGAGGAGAAUAAAUUAAUGUGGGAAAUGUUAAGCAUUCCCCUGUGAAUGAAUUUUAUCAUGGGUUGGGGAGCAUACCUUUGCUGAAAGAACUUAGAAUUCUUCCCUUCCAAUGACUUGUUUAUUAGCAUUCUAUGACCUUAAGUAAUUUUGCCAUUUUUAUAAGAAAGUAACUGUAUGAAAACUGACAUAAAAAGUGUGACAAUUGUGAAUCUUUUCCUAAUGGGUGAGGCUUCCUACCCCCCCACCCCGCCCCAGUUCUCAUUGUCUCCUUCUUUUCUCAGCUAUCUGUUUCUUUUCUGGUUUUGUUUUAGUUUCUUUUAGCUCCUCGGAUCCUUCUCUUGAUUGCCUACCCUUUAGUCCUUGUCUGCUGUCUCUUAGUUUCCCAAACUCCAGGGCCAUUUUCUCAUCCAACUUCUUCAUGUCUAAGUACCACUUCAAUCUCUAGCAUUAUGUGUUGAACAGGGGGGUUUCCUGACCAGAGUGGGAAAGGGGAGAUAUACACGCCUACCCACACACCAUUAAAGGCAGUUGUAUCAUCUUUGACGUCUCUGAUAAUGGUGGCACACUAUUAUUAUUAUUAUUAUUAUUAUUAUUAUUAUUAUUAUUAUUGCAAACAUUCUUUAUUAUUAUUAUUAUUAUUAUUAUUAUUAUUAUU